rnacentral:rRNA from 1 species
GCCUUACACAUGCAAGUCGAACGGCAGCACGGACUUCGGUCUGGUGGCGAGUGGCGAACGGGUGAGUAAUGUAUCGGAACGUACCUUCAGUGGGGGAUAACGUAGCGAAAGUUACGCUAAUACCGCAUAUUCUGUGAGCAGGAAAGCAGGGGAUCGCAAGACCUUGCGCUGAUUGAGCGGCCGAUAUCAGAUUAGCUAGUUGGUGGGGUAAAGGCCUACCAAGGCUACGAUCUGUAGCGGGUCUGAGAGGAUGAUCCGCCACACUGGAACUGAGACACGGUCCAGACUCCUACGGGAGGCAGCAGUGGGGAAUUUUGGACAAUGGGGGCAACCCUGAUCCAGCCAUGCCGCGUGAGUGAAGAAGGCCUUCGGGUUGUAAAGCUCUUUCGGCCGGGAAGAAAUCGCAUAGGCUAAUACCCUGUGUGGAUGACGGUACCGGAAUAAGAAGCACCGGCUAACUACGUGCCAGCAGCCGCGGUAAUACGUAGGGGUGCGAGCGUUAAUCGGAAUUACUGGG